UACGUAGGGGGCAAGCGUUGUCCGGAAUUAUUGGGCGUAAAGAGCACGUAGGCGGCUUCUUAAGUCAGGGGUGAAAUCCUGGAGCUCAACUCCAGAACUGCCCUUGAUACUGAGAGGCUCGAGUCCGGGAGAGGUGAGUGGAACUGCGAGUGUAGAGGUGAAAUUCGUAGAUAUUCGCAAGAACACCAGUGGCGAAGGCGGCUGACUGGUCCGGAUCUGACGCUGAGGCGCGAAAGCGUGGGGAGCAAACAGG
rnacentral:rRNA from 1 species